UGCAGCAUAUGAUUAGUUUCAUGAGUCUCUGCAGAUGAUCCAUUAUUCAGUUAGAAUAAGUGUAUAGAGAAGGAAGACUAGAUCCAAUAUUAGGGUUCCGCCAUAGCCAGGGAGUUGGUCGUCAGAGAUUUCUCUUUUGGCGAGGAAGUCAAUGCAGUUAUAGCUUACCCAAAUGCUUCACAUGGAUGCCGCACUCAAAUUUCUACUGUAUCUGCUGAAAUUCUCAUCAGUACCGUCGGUUGCCAUGGCCUUACAUCGACAAUACGUCUGCAGAUUAAUGAACGCCUUACGAACCCAAUUUUGCAGCAAUUUUAGAACAUGCGUGCGUUGAGAGAUUGCGCAAGGAACUAGACUGCUCGAUACACAAUCUCUUGAACCAUUGAACUGGACCUUAUGUACAAGAGAUAUCAAUCUUAGUAGGGUUGGCGAAUGGUGUGAUUCAUUUCUAUAUGGAAAAUCGAGAAUUUACCCCACUUUGUUAGUUUCAGCUUUAUAAUGUGGCCAAAGUGAUCAAGCGUUCUA